rnacentral:SRP_RNA from 1 species
GCCGGGUGCGAUGGCGCAUCCCAGUUACUUGGGAGGCUGAGGUGGGACGAUUGCUUGAGCCCAGGAGUUCUGGGCUGUAGUGCAAGCUAUGCUGAUUGGGUGUUCACACUAAGUUUGGCAUCAAUAUGGUGACUUCCCGGGAGCAGGGGACCACCAGGUUGCCUAAGGAGGGGUGAACCGGCCCAGGUUGCAAGUGGAACAAGUCAAAACUCCUGUGCUGAUCAGUAGUGGGAUAGUGCCUGUGAAUAGCCACUGCACUGCAGCCUGGGCAACAUAGCAAGACCCCAUCUCGU